GAACGAGAAAGUGGAGCAAUCCAUGAGUACAGUGGCGACCGGGUGAGUAACACGUGACUAACCUACCUUCGAGUGGGGGAUAACCUCGGGAAACCGAGGCUAAUACCGCAUAACAUCGCAAGAUCAAAGCAGCAAUGCGCUGGAAGAGGGGGUCGCGGCUGAUUAGCUAGUUGGCGGGGUAACGGCCCACCAAGGCGAAGAUCGGUAGCCGGCCUGAGAGGGCGCACGGCCACACUGGAACUGAAACACGGUCCAGACUCCUACGGGAGGCAGCAGUGGGGAAUUUUGCGCAAUGGGGGAAACCCUGACGCAGCAACGCCGCGUGGAGGAUGAAGCCCCUUGGGGCGUAAACUCCUUUCGACCAAGACGAUAAUGACGGUACUGGUGGAAGAAGCACCGGCUAACUCUGUG
rnacentral:rRNA from 1 species